UUAACUGUCUCCCCUCCCCAGNCAAUGAAAUUGAUCUCCCCGUGCANAAGCGGGGAUAAUACCAUAAGACGAGAAGACCCUAUGGAGCUUUAAACGUCAGGCANCCCAUGUAAAGCACCCCUUAACAAAGGAAAAAACCAAAUGAAGCCUGCCCUAAUGUCUUUGGUUGGGGCNACCGCGGGGAAAUACAAAACCCCCAUGUGGAGUANGAAUACACAUUCCUAAACCCAAGAGCUCCCGCUCUAAUGAACAGAAAUUCUGACCAAUAAAAUCCGGCACACGCCGAUCAACGGACCGAGUUACCCUAGGGAUAAC
rnacentral:rRNA from 1 species